AAGAGUGAGAGAAUCUUGGACACAUUUGUGGGUUUACAGAACAUCACCUCCUGAGUGGAGCCCAAGAAAGCAGAGGACCCAGAGCAGAAAUGGCUACGUCAUGUGCCAGGCGAGGUCACAAGAGUUUUCCCCGGCCCAGCACUGCACACGGCCCAGAGUGGCAUGGCUAUAGAUGACGCUUCCAACAGACUCGUAGAGGUCUUUGGGUCCUUGCUCAAGGGCACAGAAAGCUUCCCAACAGCCACCUGCCAGAACCUUGUGGACUGACAGUGGGUGGGGAUGCAGCGGGGGGGGGGGGGGGGGGCUGAAGGAUGUUGCUGGGGGAUGCCUUCGGGGACAGAGAGGACCUGUGGAACAGGUACCAGCUUCUUAGAGCCUCGGCCCCCAGAACUUAGGCAUGGCAUGGCUGGACAGUAAGUUUCCGCCACUAGGGGAAUGGGGGCGCAGUGCAAAUCAAAAGUUAGAGAAAAAGUUGUGUGGUUGCAUUGGGUAUAUCCCUAAACGUUUAUCCUGAGAUUGGCGCCCACUAUGCGGGUAAAGAUCAACCCGGAGGAGAUGAGUCUAGUUUAUGACUAACUCAUUCUAAGAGGUGGCUUUAUUCCCUUCCUUUCUGCCUUCUCUCCCUCCUUCUCUCCCUGACCCGCCAGACAGCCAGGUACUCUGCUGAAUUCUAGCAAUACUUUUUUUUUUUUUUUAAACUCCAAGCCCCUGUUUUCUACCAUCAAGAUUGGGUAAUUUAGCUAGGAGGGGGAGGGGCCCUCUUGACGUUAGGAGAGGCCACAUGGCUGUUUUUUGCCAAUAUGCUGUGCGAAGGGAGACUCCUAGAGCUUGCGUGGCCUUCCAGCUCAGCUCUGGUCCUUCCUCACCAUCAUGUCCACAGAGGUCUCCUCCUUCCGGGGGUGUAGCUUCAAGACGUCUGAGCCUCCGUCAGCCUGGGUCUUUGACGAGACGUGGGGAAGAGUGACGUCACCAAGCCACACUGAACGUGUGACGGGGGCAGGAAAUAAGAACAGAAAUCUUCGUGUGACCUAACUAGUCCCUGGGAAAGUCAUCAAAGAGCAGGCAACCAAUGAUAAAAUGACGACUGACAUCUCGAAAUCUAGUAAAAGUUUCUGUUUAGUAGCCAUAGAAUAACAGAAAAGUGUUUACCACCCUACAAGGUCCCACAGGACCAGCACGUACUCUGCGGGUUAGGUCGACUCUAAAAGCCUGUUGGAAAAGUACCACGAGCACAAGUAACAGGAACAACUACAACAGCUACCUCAUCUGAGUGCUUGGAGAGCGCCAGGACCCGCCAUCUCCUUCAAACCUCAAAAGGAACCUUGGAGGGAGUUAUCAGUAUAAUUGUCCCCAUCUGACAAAUGAAAAUCUCUAAAAGCAGUCAUUUCACUAGAAUAGUUUACAACAACAGAGUGGGAGAGAAUGUGCAUCUAGGUUGGUUUGUUUCACACCCUACAGUCCUGGUGUCAGUUUACGCCAAUGACCAUGACUUGAGUAUCAGGGCAGCCGGCCUCGAGUGGCACAGAAAUGAAGGAAGGAAACCUCUAGUAUGUCUACUAUGUAAAGAAGUUCACGGACAGUGUUGGAUGCCAGUCCUUCCAGGAAUAAAUACUUCCAAUCUUUCUAAAAAUAAAAAAAUAGAAGCUCA